CCAGAGAACUUAGCAGAGAUGCUUUGGUGCCUUCGGGAACUCUGAGACAGGUGCUGCAUGGCUGUCGUCAGCUCGUGUUGUGAAAUGUUGGGUUAAGUCCCGCAACGAGCGCAACCCUUAUCCUUUGUUGCCAGCGAUUCGGUCGGGAACUCAAAGGAGACUGCCGGUGAUAAACCGGAGGAAGGUGGGGAUGACGUCAAGUCAUCAUGGCCCUUACGGCCAGGGCUACACACGUGCUACAAUGGCGCAUACAAAGAGAAGCGACCUCGCGAGAGCAAGCGGACCUCAUAAAGUGCGUCGUAGUCCGGAUUGGAGUCUGCAACUCGACUCCAUGAAGUCGGAAUCGCUAGUAAUCGUAGAUCAGAAUGCUACGGUGAAUACGUUCCCGGGCCUUGUACACACCGCCCGUCACACCAUGGGAGUGGGUUGCAAAAGAAGUAGGUAGCUUAACCUUCGGGAGGGCGCUUACCACUUUGUGAUUCAUGACUGGGGUGAAGUCGUAACAAGGUAGGCGUAGCGAG
rnacentral:rRNA from 1 species